AAACCAACCGGGAUUGCCCCAGUAGCGGCGAGUGAAGCGGCAGGAGCUCUAGUUUGAAAUCUUCGGAGAUGUAGAGACGGGGAGUGGGCAUUGGAGUCCCCUGGAACGGGGCGCGACGCGAGGUGACAGCCCUCGGAGACCAGCCCCCUGUCUGGUGAGUCGAGUUGUUUGGGAAUGCAGCUCUAGUGGUGGUAUGCUCCAUCUGCGGCUAAAUAUUGGCGAGAGACCGAUAGCAGACAAGUACUGUGAAGG
rnacentral:rRNA from 1 species